AGGCACACGGAAGUGAGCAGAUAUGGUCUGCAAGUCAUCAACUCCACAAAGAGGGAGAUUCAGAUGCACAACCCAGACCUCUGCACCGCCGCCUUCCUGCACUACCCGCUCAGCUGGCUGUAUCGGGUGGCCCCAGAACUGGUGGGUCCCUGCAGAGCCUCCCUGGCUAUCCUUGACCCUCUUCCCCAGGAGGAGCCGCUGGUCCCCAGCCCUGCCAAGAGCUUUUGAGGUUCGCCAGGCCCAGCCUCCCGCGUCGGAACACAAGUGGGUCAAAGCCUUGCAGAUCACUGUGGGCGACAUAAAACAUGCACCGGAGCAGUUACUGUUAAAAGUGGCCUCUGCUGGGCAAGUUUCCCUCAUGCCCAAGCUUCAGGUCUGCUUUCAGUGGAGACCCCAUUAACCCAGUAUUUCCUUAACAGAAAGGAUGCCGGUUGCUGGGAGCAAAGCUAUAGUCCCUCUACUUGCAGUUAACACAGUGACUGCAGGAGUGGGUGGAGCCGCAGAUGAUGGCGGUAAACACUCCAGCUGGUUUUCGUCUGCGACACCUGGACGCGAUCCUGGGUCAAGAGCAGGGAAGUGGCAGUGGCCGUGAUGCCUCUGGGGUUAGUGGAGCCGUGAGAUCGACCGGCGCAGUGCUCCCUGAGCAUGCGUGUCGCUCCUCCCAGCAGAAUAUCAUUAUUUCUGUCUUAUAACAUGUAGUCUCACGUCAAGGAUCUGGACUUGAAAGUAGUUCUGUUUUCCUUGCCACGACCGGCUGCCUUCCAGAUGUUUGAGAGGGAAAACCAUUUCCUGAGUGUCUCCUGUGUUUCCUGUAUUGGGCUGUGUGACCUGUUUUUCUUUUUCUUUCUUUUUUUUUUUUUAGCCGAUUCUGCUUAAUGCUCAGUGUAACUCACCAAAGUAGUUUUUUAUUCCUCAUUUUAUGAUCUGCGACACGGAGGUGCAGAGAACCUAAGUAACUUGCUGUCACGCUGCUAGCAGAACACAGAGCCACAAUUUGAACGCACUUCUCUUAAAGAACUCCGGGGACAUGCUCUGUCCCCCGCACCACCCUGCCACACACUGGCAGAGGGACGAUGCCCCAUGUGUCCGCUGUGGAGCAGGAACGGGCUAACCCGGGUCCCUCCUCCUGCCCUGCCUUCUACAGCCAGAGGGAGAGAGAGAGAGGCAGCGUGAGCAGGGGAGGGCCGGA